rnacentral:rRNA from 1 species
UACAGAGGGUGCGAGCGUUGUCCGGAAUCACUGGGCGUAAAGGGCGCGUAGGUGGCUCGUUAAGCGUGUGGUGAAAGCCUGGGGCUCAACCCCAGGUCUGCCGUGCGAACUGGCGAGCUUGAGCAGAGUAGAGGCGGGUGGAAUUUCGGGUGUAGCGGUGGAAUGCGUAGAUAUCCGAAAGAACACCGGUGGCGAAGGCGGCCCGCUGGGCUCUUGCUGACACUGAUGCGCGAAAGCCAGGGGAGCAAACGGG